AGUUAUCUGGUGAGUCCUAAAUAGGACGAAAUGCGCAUCCUGGAU
rnacentral:hammerhead_ribozyme from 1 species